AGUAGAGACGGGGUUUCACCAUGUUGGCCAGGGUGGUCUCGAGCUCCUGACCUUGUAAUCUGCCUGCCUCAGCCUCCCGAAGUGCGGGGAUUACAGGCGUGAGCCACUGUGCCAGGCUGGAAGUUGCUGUUUUGAGGUGCUUAGGCCCAAGCCCGCAUGAAGGUGGAGCCCUUUCUCUUAAUGCACAGGUGAAAAGGGCACCUCGGUGAUUCCACUAAAUUUAAUUGAAGAUAAGUAGGACCUGGGUCACACCGACUCGUAGAAAGUGAAGGUCAGAAUCUGAGGCUGCGUUUGGCCCUAAGUAGGAAGGAGCUGGCUGGUGGGUGGAGGAAAGAGGGCAGGGGGUUCGGAUCCGGGUUCUCCUUUUCUUUCAACUCUGUGGGUGUUAAGGAAGCCUCAUGGCAGCGCAGGCACGGCUGAGAGCACCUGGAAAGAGAAGACCCUGCCGGACUCUCCUCUCCCUUCACUUCGGGUUCCCAGGAAGUACCCAGAUUAGUGUCAAUGAAAAGAUGGAUGAAAACUGCCUAGAAAAGGCUUCAGUGGUGCUCAAACUGGAUGAUUGAAUCCUGAAUAAUUGGAAAUCAACAGCACCACCAUGCUCCGUGACACCCGUGACCUUCCACAAGCUGUCUCUUCUACCAGGAUGUUACUGCCACCACUGUCUCCCAGCCAACUCCUAGUUAUCAUAUAAAGCCGAGCUCUAACUUCGCUGUCUCCAGGAAGUUUUUGUCACCCUCGAAAACUGUAAGAUACAAAAGACGAGAAGACAACCACAGGAACAACCAGAAAAAAAAGACACCUGACCUCCAGGUAACAAUCCUGCUGACAGAAGACUUCUCAACCCAACCAAAAUCUCCAAAGAUGGCUAAACAGUGUCUUCAAAGGAAUUGUCAGCCUAGAAUCCUAUGCUUAAAUUACUGUUCUAGGAUGAGGGCAAAAAUAUAUGUAUUUUAGAAUGAAGACAGAGGCCAUUUUCCAUGUUCACUGGCAGUGCUGUACCAGUAAAAAUGUACUUCAUGAAAGAAAAGUCAACCCAGGGGAAGAAAAGACUUGAAAACAAGAAUAAGAAGUCUCAUUUAUUGAGUGGUUGCUAUAGACCAGGCACUGUUCUAGGGACCUUUU